UACAGAGGUCUCAAGCGUUGUCCGGAAUUACUGGGCGUAAAGGGUGCGCAGGCCGCGCGGGCAGUCAAAUGUGUAAUCCAGGGGCUCAACCCCUGAACUGCGCUUGAUACUUCCGCGCUCGAGCUUUGGAGAGGAGUCUGGAAUUCUCGGUGUAGCAGUGAAAUGCGUGGAUAUCGAGAAGAACACUUAGGGCGUAGGCAAGACUCUGGACAAAUGCUGACGCUCAUGCACGAAGGCUAGGGUAGCGAACGGG
rnacentral:rRNA from 1 species